CGCUUUCAAACUUUAAUCGCAGGCUCCUCUUCGGAGUCUAAUAGUUGCCUGGCACAGAGUGGUGACCUGGUCUAGGUGAAGGAGACUCUCGGGUUGAGGAAGCCAGGAGCUCCCUGGGCGCGAAGAGAUAUGCGCCCGGAGUUCAUGCCUGUGUACCAGGUUCUCUAAGAGCUCCGAAGAAAGAGAAACAUUACCAAAGAUAUCUGGUAGAAGUGACACUA
rnacentral:lncRNA from 1 species